rnacentral:lncRNA from 1 species
CCACACCCAGCUUUUUUUAAAAAUUGUAUUUCUUUUGUAGAGAUGGGGCUUUGCCAUAUUGCCCAGGCUGGUCUCAAUCUUCUGGACUCAAGUGAUCUGACCUCCUCAGGCUCCCAAAGUGCUGGGACUACAGGUGUGAGCCACUGCGCCCAACCCAGUCUUCCUUUAAAUGGACCAUUCAGGCCUUUGCCCAAGAACUUAAAAGUAUGUAAAUCAUUCCCACACGCUAUUCCCUUACACACACACACCCACACCCACACCCACCCACAUAUAUAUGUAAACAUACUGCUGGUUCCCACUCACUCUCUCUGCCUGACUCUCAUCCCAUUGCACGUGACCGGGGGACGGAGGACUGCCCUCCAAUUUCUUACACCCUCCCGUCUGCAUCUGUAAGUAGUAAAUCUUUG